ACACUGAUGGUGAAACGGUAUCAUGCUUGCCUUCCACUCUUGUCGAUAGCAAGCGGCGUGGGUUCGACUCCCGCUCAGUGUA